rnacentral:rRNA from 1 species
CUUUCUGUUCGCACCAUCAUAAACAUGCCUGACUUCAUCACAUCUCAGAAGUUAAGUAGGGUUAGGCCUGGUUAAUACUGGAAUGA